rnacentral:rRNA from 1 species
CACUGACGUUCANGCCCGAAAGCGUGGGUAGCAAACAGGAUUAGAUACCNUGGUAGUCCACGCCCUAAACGAUGUCGAUUAGCUGUUGGGCAGCAUGACUGCUUAGUAGCGAAGCUAACGCGUGAAAUCGACCGCCUGGGGAGUACGGUCGCAAGAUUAAAACUCAAAGGAAUUGACGGGGACCCGCACAAGCGGUGGAUGAUGUGGAUUAAUUCGAUGCAACGCGAAGAACCUUACCUGGUCUUGACAUGUACGGAACCCUCCAGAGACGGAGGGGUGCCUUCGGGAGCCGUAACACAGGUGCUGCAUGGCUGCCGUCAGCUCGUGUCGUGAGAUGUUGGGUUANNNNNNNNAACGAGCGCAACCCUUGUCAUUAGUUGCCAUCAUUAAGUUGGGCACUCUAAUGAGACUGCCGGUGACAAGCCGGAGGAAGGUGGGGAUGACGUCAAGUCCUCAUGGCCCUUAUGACCAGGGCUUCACACGUCAUACAAUGGUCGGUACAGAGGGUAGCCAAGCCGCGAGGUGGAGCCAAUCUCACAAAACCGAUCGUAGUCCGGAUUGCACUCUGCAACUCGAGUGCAUGAAGUCGGAAUCGCUAGUAAUCGCAGGUCAGCAUACUGCGGUGAAUACGUUCCCGGGUNU